GACGAACGCUGGCGGCGUGCUUAACACAUGCAAGUCGAACGCUGAAACCAAAUGCUUGCAUUUGGUGGAUGAGUGGCGAACGGGUGAGUAACACGUGGGUGAUCUGCCCUACACUUUGGGAUAAGCCUGGGAGACUGGGUCUAAUACCGAAUAUUCACAUCAUCGUAGGGGUGGUGUGGAAAGCUUUAUGCGGUGUGGGAUGAGCCUGCGGCCCAUCAGUUUGUUGGUGGGGUAAUGGCCUACCAAGGCGUCGACGGGUAGCCGGCCUGAGAGGGUGUACGGCCACAUUGGGACUGAGACACGGCCCAGACUCCUACGGGAGGCAGCAGUGGGGAAUAUUGCACAAUGGGCGCAAGCCUGAUGCAGCGACGCCGCGUGGGGGAUGACGGCCUUCGGGUUGUAAACUCCUUUCGCUAGGGACGAAGCCUUAUGGUGACGGUACCUGGAGAAGAAGCACCGGCUAACUACGUGCCAGCCGCCGCUGUAACAC
rnacentral:rRNA from 1 species